rnacentral:rRNA from 1 species
UACGCAGGGGGCUAGCGUUGCUCGGAAUUACUGGGCGUAAAGCGCACGUAGGCGGCUUUCUAAGUCGGGGGUGAAAUCCUGGAGCUCAACUCCAGAACUGCCUUCGAUACUGGAGAGCUUGAGUCCGGGAGAGGUGAGUGGAACUGCGAGUGUAGAGGUGAAAUUCGUAGAUAUUCGCAAGAACACCAGUGGCGAAGGCGGCUCACUGGCCCGGUACUGACGCUGAGGUGCGAAAGCGUGGGGAGCAAACAGG